rnacentral:rRNA from 1 species
UGGGGAAUAUUGGACAAUGGGGGCAACCCUGAUCCAGCCAUGCCGCGUGUGUGAAGAAGGCCUUUUGGUUGUAAAGCACUUUAAGCAGGGAGGAGAGGCUAAUGGUUAAUACCCAUUAGAUUAGACGUUACCUGCAGAAUAAGCACCGGCUAACUCUGUGCCAGCAGCCGCGGUAAUACAGAGGGUGCGAGCGUUAAUCGGAAUUACUGGGCGUAAAGCGAGUGUAGGUGGCUCAUUAAGUCACAUGUGAAAUCCCCGGGCUUAACCUGGGAACUGCAUGUGAUACUGGUGGUGCUAGAAUAUGUGAGAGGGAAGUAGAAUUCCCAGGUGUAGCGGUGAAAUGCGUAGAGAUCUGGAGGAAUACCGAUGGCGAAGGCAGCUUCCUGGCAUAAUAUUGACACUGAGAUUCGAAAGCGUGGGUAGCAAAACAGGAUUAGAUACCCUGGUAGUCCACGCCGUAAACGAUGUCUACUAGCCGUUGGGGUCCUUGAGACUUUAGUGGCGCAGUUAACGCGAUAAGUAGACCGCCUGGGGAGU